GGCCCCCUGGUGCUCACCACAGGUUGUGUUCUUACAAUGACUAUACAGAAAGAGGAGGCAAAGUAAACUUACCCAAUAUACACAUGGGUCCAGGUCCUGUGCCUGGUCUGUGUUGUGAAUGGAGAGACAUGG
rnacentral:snoRNA from 1 species